rnacentral:rRNA from 1 species
GACGAACGCUGGCGGCGUGCCUAAUACAUGCAAGUCGAGCGAAUGACGAGAAGCUUGCUUCUCUGAUUUAGCGGCGGACGGGUGAGUAACACGUGGGCAACCUGCCCUACAGAUUGGGAUAACUCAGGGAAACCUGGGCUAAUACCGGAUAAUCCUUCGAAUCACAUGUUUUGAAGUUGAAAGGCGCUUCGGCGUCACUGUAGGAUGGGCCCGCGGUGCAUUAGCUAGUUGGUUGGGUAACGGCCUACCAAGGCAACGAUGCAUAGCCGACCUGGGAGGGUGAUCGUCCACAGUGGGACUGAGACACGGCCCAAACUCGUACGGGAGGAAGAAUUAGGGAAUCUUCCACAAUGGACGAAAGUGUGAUGGAGCAACGCCGCGUGAGUGAUGAAGGUUUUCGGAUCGUAAAACUCUGUUGUAAGGGAAGAACAAGUACGUUAGGAAAUGAACGUGCCUUGACGGUACCUUAUUAGAAAGCCACGGCUAACUACGUGCCAGCCGCCGCCGUAA